rnacentral:rRNA from 1 species
UGAGCAACCUGCCCUUGACUCUGGAAUAACAGCUGGAAACAGCUGCUAAUACCGGAUACGACCUCCGAUGGCAUCAUCUGGAGGUGGAAAGCUCCGACGGUCAAGGAUGGGCUCGCGGCCUAUCAGCUUGUUGGUGAGGUAACGGCUCACCAAGGCUUCGGACGGGUAGCCGGCCUGAGAGGGCCGACCGGCCACACGUGGGACUGAGAUACGGCCCAGACCUCGUACCGGGGA